CUGCCAGAGAGAAGAGAGGCCCCACGGCGAGAGCCCAAGCACUGCUAGUGCUUUCCCGUCUGGGCAAAAAUACUGAAGAAACGGGUAUUCUGAACGCGCCAGAACGGGCAAUGCAAUGGCGAACUCCCUUGCUUCCGGUCCCUCCCUCCCGAGCCCCGACGAGCGGACGCCAGCUGAGGGAGACUCACCACUCACCAGACUCGGUGGCUGGUACUCAUCACUCGGGUAUCGUGUAGCGCAAGAUUGGAGUAGCUGGCGCAGCCGACGACUUGGUCGACUUGGCCGAAGCGCCGCAGCAGCACCAUGCUCGACGCAACGCUCAAGUUUCAGCUGAUCAGCUCCGGUGUCCGGUGUGGCCUGCACGGCUCCUAUGUCCUGACUGGCGGUGACCAUUCGCACUAUGUGCCGCAUAGCUUGAAGAAUGACGAGAGCUCGAGGAAACUCCUCUAACCCUUGGAGAUUUGUCAGCUUCCCUAUCUUGUAUACUAGAGAAACUGUCUGAGCUGCUGCAUAUAAGAAACGGAGGUUACUUAACUUAUUC